UGCUGGAAGUUUCUGUCUUCAGGGCCACCCCCAGGGCCAUGUUUCUCUGAGCACCUAGAGAUGGACUUGCUUCUCGGGCCUCUCCUAAUCUCUGUGCCACUGCAGCUAGUUCAGCCCUGCAUUAGAGAGUGAAGUGAAUAGGUGACCUUCACAGGAAGUCAGUGAAUGCACCAAAAUGUUCAGUCGAAGAGAAUGCUGUGAGGAAGGAAGGGCUGGAAUAAACUGGUGCACAGAAGAAACGAAGCACAAAAGAUGUGAGCAAGAGCUGUGCUGAC
rnacentral:lncRNA from 1 species